AACAUCAACACCAGAUGGAGUUAAAACGUCAACACCAGAUGGAGUUAAAACAUCAGUACUAACAGAAUUUUUAAAUUCAUAUAUAAUAUCUUUUCUUAAUUUGUAUCGUUCAACCAGUUGAUGUGGUAUUAUAUUACAAAGUAUUUGUAUAACAUUUAAAAUAUUUCCUUUAUAAUGAUCUAUCGAGUAAACUCCAUUAAUUACUAAAUCGUAUUUACUAAAAACUAAAGAUGGAAAGAUUAAACCUGGACAAUCACAUACAACAAAAUUAUAUUUAUUUAAAUAAAUCGUUUGAAACUGUUUGGUUUUACCAGGUUGUUUACUUACACUUACUUUUUUUUCACCAAGUAAAGUAUUAAUAAUUGAACUUUUUCCUACAUUUGGAAAACCUAAAAAUCCAACCAUAUAUUGUGGUAUAUUAUUAAUUGAUAUAACUUCAAUUUCAUGAUAAAAUUUUUUUAUUUUAUUUUUCAUUUUUUGUAUAAAUUCGAUUAAUUCUUCUGUGCUUAAUAUAUCUGUAUUAUCACUUUUUUUUUUUCAUAAAUUAAGUUACCAUAACCGACAUUAAGGACUUGUUUAUUCUCGUUUCUCUGUUUAUUAAGUAAGACGCCAUUUAUAUUUUUAUUAUUAUUACUACUGUCAUUAUUAUUAUUGUUACUACUGUCAUUAUUAUUAUUAUUACUACUGUCAUUAUUAUUAUUGUUACUGCUGUCAUUAUUAUUAUUAUUAUUAUUAUUAUUACUACUGUCAUUAUUAUUAUUGUUACUACUGUCAUUAUUAUUAUUAUUACUACUGUCAUUAUUAUUAUUAUUACUACUGUCAUUAUUAUUAUUGUUACUACUGUCAUUAUUAUUAUUAUUACUACUGUCAUUAUUAUUGUGAUUAUUUUCAUAGAUGUCAGAAUCAUUACGAUUAAUAAACAUGUUGUUAAUCAUGUUUGAAAGUACAUUACUAGUAAUAUUUUUUGCAAUUUCAUCAAACGUGUCAUAGUUAUUUGGUACAUAUUCUUGUUCAUACAUUUUUUCGUUUUUUGUAUGGUCAUAAACAGGUGAACAUUUUUCUGAGUGUAUUUUUCCACUGUUUAUUUUUUCACU
rnacentral:lncRNA from 1 species